rnacentral:sRNA from 1 species
ACGAAGAGAUGAAUGAUUUGACGUUGGCACUGCGCAC